CGGCCGCUGAGCCUCUGCGCCUGCGCAGAUGCGCUGACCCGGAAGACACAGGGACAAAAGAGGGAAUUGUUUCAGAACUGGAAGAGAAUGACCCGGCCAGCACCUGCACAAGACUCCACACUGCAAAGGCUAACCCAGAUCAGUUGGCAGGGGAGGGAGCGGUGGUUUCUGGGCAGAGUGCAGGGUCCUUGGAGAUUCUACAUUCAGCCACUAGAUGGUGAAGCACACAGGAGAAAAACCCACGUGGAGCCCCAAUCCAAUCAGCCCUCGUCAGACCUCACUGACAGCAAGUUUUGCAAGGUACCUGGGAGUCAGUUUCUGAAGAUGUAAGCUCUCUAACAAGGGCAAAACUACUAAAGUCGUCAAAUCGGUCAAAGGAACUCUGGAUGAACUGGUUCCAGCCAGCUUUCAAGGCAGCUGUCCCAAGUUAAGCACAAAGAAGGGGAGGGGAAAGAGGGCGCCUGAGGUCCUGAGCACUUGAUGUACCCCAAGCUGUGUUGUGAGCUUCAGGACAUGGGCUCAUCUACACCUCACAGAAAUCCUGUGGCAGGAGUCUCUGCUGGUAACUGAGCGGGAACAAGGCUCACGUUAAAUCCAAGGUCAGACCUAGAGUGUGGGGAGCCAAGACUCAACACAAGUCUGACCCCAAAGCUUGUGCUUUUCCUAGCGUUCCCACAAAUCACUUACGAUUUCUAUUGAAAUAGAAUCUUUGCUUGAUCUUUCCAGGAAACUGUCCAACCAAUUGGUAUCUUUGGAAAGGCUGGGCUGGAUCUUCCCUAGCAAGGCCUUCCACCUGCAACUUUUUUUUCUCCAGCCAUUUCUCUCUUUGACCAGACUACAUAAGGAAGCAGGAAACCUUCCUCUUCUUCUUCUUCUUUUUUUUGGCCAUGCUGAGCAGCUUUCAGGAUCUUGGUUCCCCAGCCAGGGAUUGAACCCGGGCCACCACAAGUGAAGCACCGAGUCCUAACCACUGGACCGCCAGGGAACUCCCUGGGAAACGUUCUUCAAACCCUGUGAUUGAACUGGACAGGGAAUGGACUGCUGUCUGUAAGCAGCCAACAGCCAGCAGCUUUUCAGAGUUACUUAGUGGGCAAAUUUGUUAACUUUGCUUUAUUUCUCCGUAUGUUUACAUUAAAAAGAAAUUCACACAAAUAAAACAGCUCGAUAAAAAGUAUGAAUUACCUGAUAACCUUUAUUCGGAAAGUGAGAGUAAUUCUGAAACAGUGCCUCGUGAGGUGCGUCAGACAAUGCCUUUGUUCCCAGCGUGUGCACGGGUGCUGCCCAGUCCUGCACUCCCCUAAGGCACCUGUUAAGAUGUCAUCCUGUUGGGCCACAAGAUGGCGGCAGCAUCUUAGCCAGCUUUACAGUUACGUGGGCAGAACGACUGAAGGAGGCACUGACACUUCAUGAACCAGGUGGCGUGCUGAAGUCCCAGAUCCUCGCUCUAUGCAUUGUGCUCUCCAGCGAAUGAUCCCAGCCUGUGUUUGAUUCACAUGCACAAAAACAAGUGUGACACCCCCCCACCCAUCCCCAGCUUGGGCAGCAAGGAGUCUGCUCCACUUAGGACACGAUUUCCCACCCUUCCUCCACACUGUCAGAAUCUUCCAAGGAGGAUGAAAACAGAAACAAAACUAGGAUGCCAGAAAGAAAGAAACUCUGAUACACAAAAGCAAAGACAUGCGGGGGGUCAGGGGGUGGGAAUGAGAGAGAGGAAGACAAGAGGUUAAACGAUGCAGUUACACUGCUUAUUUAGAAAGAUGUUACGAGACACACUAGAUAAAAGUAAAACCCAUCCAGCUCCCUUCCUCCACAAGAUAUUUUAAUGCAGCAAGCGAGACUACAUCCUUCUUGUAGUAAGCACUGUUAGUAUUCAACACUUUAACAUUUAUGGUGCAUCACAUAAAAACAAAGUCAAAUGCUUUUGCAUAAAUCAAAAAAA